GCAGUCGAGCGGAAACGAGUUAUCUGAACCUUCGGGGAACGAUAACGGCGUCGAGGGCGGACGGGUGAGUAAUGCCUAGGAAAUUGCCCUGAUGUGGGGGAUAACCAUUGGAAACGAUGGCUAAUACCGCAUGAUGCCUACGGGYCAAAGAGGGGGACCUUCGGGCCUCUCGCGUCAGGAUAUGCCUAGGUGGGAUUAGCUAGUUGGUGAGGUAAGGGCUCACCAAGGCGACGAUCCCUAGCUGGUCUGAGAGGAUGAUCAGCCACACUGGAACUGAGACACGGUCCAGACUCCUACGGGAGGCAGCAGUGGGGAAUAUUGCACAAUGGGCGCAA
rnacentral:rRNA from 1 species